AUGCAGGUUGAAUCGGAGGUCGACGCAUCGGCGGCAGAGACCGCCACGGCCAGGGCCUCGGCGGCGGUGCUCACCGCGCCGCUGUCGCUGGAAGGGGGCCUCGCGGCGGAGCUCCAGCCGGCCAACCUUGUGCAGCGGGUGCUCAGCCUCUUCGGGAACGUCAGGCCGGGCGCCGAUCUCUCGCACUUCCAGCUGCCUGCUACGUUCAACCUGCCAAAAUCGCAGCUCCAGUUGUACGGAGAAAUAGUCUACUGCGACGGAGACGACUACCUGAGCAGAUGCGGCAAAGGCAAGGACAGCCUCGAGCGCUUUACGGCGGUCGUCGCAUGGAGCAUCUCGACGACGAGGCCGCCCAUCUUCGGUUUCGCUCCUUACAACCCGGUCCUCGGAGAGACGCACCAUGUCUCCAGAGGGUCACUCCAUGUCCUUCUUGAGCAGGCAACCCAACUUGUGUGUCAUAAACCCCCGGUCUCUGCACUUCACGCUACCGAUGAUGGCGGGAACGUGGAGCUUGUCUGGAGUCAACACCCAGUGCCGAAAUUUAAUGGUGCUAGCAUAGAGGCAACGGUGCACGGCAAGAGGCAAGUCAGGCUUCCAAAGUUCAACGAGACAUACGAGAUGGGCUGUCCAAACCUUCUCAUCAGGCUGCUUCCUGGGCCCUCCGUCGAGUGGUCUGGCACCGUCAGGAUCGUCUGCAAGGACUCCGGGCUCGAGGCAGAAUUGAGCUACCACAGAAGCAACUCCUUCAUGGGAAUGGGAGGUGACGGGAGGUGCGUCAAGGGCAAGGUGUUCCGUUCAUCGAACCCGCAGGACGCCGUCUUCGAGAUCGAUGGCUACUGGGACAGGACUGUUUCGCUCAAGGAUGUCGAGAGUGGGGAGGUCUUGGUUCUCUACGACGCGAACCUCUCCAUCGCGAACCUCAUCACACCGGAGGUUAAAGACGAAGAGGGCUUGUCAUCUACCGAGUCGGCGGUCGUCUGGAGCGAAGUCAGCGAGGCUAUCCUGGCGAAGGACUGGGAGAAGGCUAGCGAGGCGAAGCGGAAAGUCGAGGGCACGGCCAGGAGCCUUGAGAAGGAGAGGAGUGAGAAGGGAGAGGUGUGGAUGCCCAAGCACUUCUCAUUGUCCCAGGACAAGGAUGGGAACUGGGACUGCUGUCCAUUAGAGAAAUCAGUGCGUCCAGCUCCUAUCAUUGUACCUUCUUCAUGA
rnacentral:rRNA from 1 species